rnacentral:rRNA from 1 species
CCUACGGGUGGCAGCAGUGAGGAAUAUUGGUCAAUGGGCGCGAGCCUGAACCAGCCAAGUAGCGUGAAGGAUGACUGCCCUACGGGUUGUAAACUUCUUUUGCCGGGGAGCAACGGGCGUCACGUGUGGCGCCACUGAGCGUACCCGGAUAAACAGCAUCGGCUAACUCCGUGCCAGCCGCCGCGGUAAUACGGAGGAUGCGAGGGUUGUACGGAUUUAUUGGGUUUAAAGGGUGCGUAGGCGGAUCGUUAAGUCAGUGGUCAAAUUGAGGGGCUCACCCCCAUCCCGCCAUUGAAACUGGCGCUCUUGAGUGGAAGAGAGGUAUGCGGAAUGCGGGGUGUAGCGGUGAAAUGCAUAGAUAUAACGCAGAACCCCGAUUGCGAAGGCAGCAUGCCGGCUUCCGACUGACGCUGAAGCACGAAAGCGUGGGGAGCGAACAGGAUUAGAUACCCGUGUAGUC